ACAAGUCUGAUGCUGUCACUAAAAGGUCACCACUGAGAGGGAAGACUGCCAACGAGUGAAGACUUUUUGGGAGAGUUUUUCAAAAAUGCUUGCGCUCGUCCUGCUGCAACUCAUGAUCAUCGUAUCAGCAAACGCCCAAACAACGGCCAAGAAGACAACUAAUGCACCCACCAUGGCCAAUGCUGCCACUGCAAACAGCAAAAGCGCAACCAACAACGCUGCAACUGGCAACGCUGCGACCACAGCGGGCAAUAAAGUGACAACGGGGAAAAGUGCAACAGGCAACAAAGUAACAACUGCUAAAAGUGCAACUGGGAACGCUGCAACCACAGCGGGUGCUAAUGUGACGACUGCAGCCAAUGUGACAACAAAUUCAAACAACACAACGACAAGCGCCGCUACACACAUGACAUUGACAACUCACGGCUUGGUCAUGUGCCACCUGGGCGUGGCGCUCCUUAAAUAUUACACAAUUUAAAAUCGAACAUGAAGGUAAUAUAAUUGGAUUUAAAUACAAUGUGGUUAAAAGCCCCGUGUUGAUAGGUUGAAACAAAUAUCUAGAUGAUACACUGUGUUUGAAUAUUGUAAUAAAAAAGUGAAUAGAAAUAAAAAAAUAAUGUUUCGUCAUAAA